AGCUGAUCAGCCAUGCCGCGUGUGUGAAGAAGGUCUUCGGAUUGUAAAGCACUUUAAGUUGGGAGGAAGGGUUGUAGAUUAAUACUCUGCAAUUUUGACGUUACCGACAGAAUAAGCACCGGCUAACUCUGUGCCAGCAGCCGCGGUAAUAC
rnacentral:rRNA from 1 species